rnacentral:rRNA from 1 species
UGACNUGAGUGCAGAAGGGGAGAGUGGANUUCCAUGUGUAGCGGUGAAAUGCGUAGAUAUAUGGAGGAACACCAGUGGCGAAAGCGGCUCUCUGGUCUGUCACUGACGCUGAGGCUCGAAAGCGUGGGUAGCGAACAGGAUUAGAUACCCUGGUAGUCCACGCCGUAAACGAUGAGUGCUAGGUGUUAGGCCCUUUCCGGGGCUUAGUGCCGGAGCUAACGCAAUAAGCACUCCGCCUGGGGAGUACGACCGCAAGGUUGAAACUCAAAGGAAUUGACGGGGGCCCGCACAAGCGGUGGAGCAUGUGGUUUAAUUCGAAGCAACGCGAAGAACCUUACCAGGUCUUGACAUCCCAAUGCUAUUCUUAGAGAUAGGAAGUUACUUCGGUACAUCGGAGACAGGUGGUGCAUGGUUGUCGUCAGCUCGUGUCGUGAGAUGUUGGGUUAAGUCCCGCAACGAGCGCAACCCUUAUUGUUAGUUGCCAUCAUUAAGUUGGGCACUCUAGCGAGACUGCCGGUAAUAAACCGGAGGGAGGUGGGGAUGACGUCAAAUCAUCAUGCCCCUUAUGACCUGGGCUACACACGUGCUACAAUGGUCGGUACAACGAGUUGCGAGCCGGUGACGGCAAGCUAAUCUCUGAAAGCCGAUCUCAGUUCGGAUUGGAGGCUGCAACUCGCCUCCAUGAAGUCGGAAUCGCUAGUAAUCGCGGAUCAGCACGCCGCGGUGAAUACGUUCCCGGGCCUUGUACACACCGCCCGUCACACCACGAGAGUUUGUAACACCCGAANU